rnacentral:rRNA from 1 species
AACGUGCCCAGUCGUGGGGGAUAACGUAGAGAAAUUUACGCUAAUACCGCAUACGAUCUAAGGAUGAAAGCGGGGGACUCGCAAGAGCCUCGCGCGAUUGGAGCGGCUGAUAUCAGAUUAGCUUGUUGGUGAGGUAAAAGCUCACCAAGGCGACGAUCUGUAGCUGGUUUGAGAGAACGACCAGCCACACUGGGACUGAGACACGGCCCAGACUCCUACGGGAGGCAGCAGUGGGGAAUUUUGGACAAUGGGCGAAAGCCUGAUCCAGCAAUGCCGCGUGCAG